CCUACGGGAGGCAGCAGUGAGGAAUAUUGGUCAAUGGCCGGAAGGCUGAACCAGCCAUGCCGCGUGAAGGUCAGUGCCCUAUGGGCGUUAAACUUCUUUUGUGCGGGAGCAAUAAUGGUCACGUGUGGCCAGACGAGAGUACCGUACGAAUAAGCAUCGGCUAACUCCGUGCCAGCAGCCGCGGUAAUACGGGGGAUGCAAGCGUUAUCCGGAUUUAUUGGGUUGAAAGGGUGCGUAGGCUGUGAGGUAAGUCAGCGGUGAAAUGCCCCCGCUCAACGGGGUGAAGUGCCAUUGAUACUGCCUGGCUGGAAUGCGGAUGCCGUGGGAGGAAUGUGUGGUGUAGCGGUGAAAUGCAUAGAUAUCACACAGAACACCGAUUGCGAAGGCAUCUCACGAAUCCGCGAUUGACGCUGAUGCACGAAAGCGUGGGUAUCAAACAGGAUUAGAUACCCGAGUAGUC
rnacentral:rRNA from 1 species